rnacentral:miRNA from 1 species
ACCCUCAUUGACCGGAAGGGAUUCCUUCCGGUCGAUGAGGUAUAACAACCUCAUCGACGGAAGGAAUCCCUUCCGUCGAUGAGGGUGUUUUACCUCAUCGACCGGAAGGAAUCCCUUCCGGUCGAUAAGACU